rnacentral:miRNA from 1 species
CCUCUCUGAUGGCUAAUUC